AACGAACGCUGGCGGCAUGCCUAACACAUGCAAGUCGAACGAGACCUUCGGGUCUAGUGGCGCACGGGUGCGUAACGCGUGGGAACCUGCCCUUAGGUUCGGAAUAACUCCCCGAAAGGGGUGCUAAUACCGGAUAAUGUCUUCGGACCAAAGAUUUAUCGCCUUUGGAUGGGCCCGCGUUGGAUUAGCUAGUUGGUAGGGUAAACGCCUACCAAGGCGACGAUCCAUAGCUGGUCUGAGAGGAUGUUCAGCCACACUGGGACUGAGACACUGCCCAGACUCCUACGGGAGGCAGCAGUGGGGAAUAUUGGACAAUGGGCGAUAGUCUGAUCCAGCAAUGCCGCGUGAGUGAUGAAGGCCUUAGGGUUGUAAAGCUCUUUUACCCGGGAUGAUAAUGACAGUACCGGGAGAAUAAGCUCCGGCUGACUCUGUG
rnacentral:rRNA from 1 species